rnacentral:rRNA from 1 species
UCUCAGUUCGGACUGCAGGCUGCAACCCGCCUGCACGAAGCUGGAAUCGCUAGUAAUCGCGAAUCAGAAUGUCGCGGUGAAUACGUUCCCGGGUCUUGUACACACCGCCCGUCACACCAUGGGAGUCAGUAACGCCCGAAGUCAGUGACCUAACCGAGAGGGAGGAGCUGCCGAAGGCGGGACGGAUAACUGGGGUGAAGUCGUAACAAGGUAAC